rnacentral:lncRNA from 1 species
GUAGUUUUACAAGCAAAUAUUCCUAAGUGGAAAUACAGCAAUUCUGCUUUACUUUUUCUAAAAUUUAUUCAAUUUACAUUGACUUGUUUGCUCUCUUUCAUUCUUUUUGACACAGCAUUACAAAGAGAUUUCUUAAGUGAGCGAAAACCAGACCAUACAUUUCUUGCAAUUUCCAUAAAUCCACUGUGGAACUUCAAAAGCAAUAUUUAAAAAGUUAAGCAACAAGACAAGGUGUACUUAGAAAUAAAAAUAAUUGAUAUUUUCUCGAAGAACUACAAGCACAUGUUUUGUACCUGUAGUCCAAGCUACUUGGGAGGCUGAGGUGGGAGGAUCACUUGAAUGGAGAAGUUCUGGGCUGUAGUGCCCUGUGCUCAUCAGGUUGUCCUUGGCAUCAAUAUAAUGUCCUCCUGGGAGCAGGAGACCACCAGGUUGCAUAAGGAGUAGUGAAUUGGCCCAGAUCAGAAAUAGACUAGGUCAAAAUUCGCACACUGAUCAGUAGUGUGAUUGAGCCCCUGCACUGCAACAUGAGCAACAAAGUAAGACUCCAUCUUUA